rnacentral:lncRNA from 1 species
GAAUAUAUACAUAAGUAAGUAAUUAUCACCUCUGCGUUAUCGUACUUAUUAAAACAAACUGAUAAAUAUAUUGUCCCACUGAGUUCACAUAUAAUACUGAAAACAUGUUCUGAUUUUUCAAGACCAUGGUGAAUGAUAUGUACAGGCCUUAAAUUCAAUAACAUGCCACCCCACCCACCCCCCUUUUUGUAUUGCAUUUUAUGAUAAACAUUUAAAUCCUUGAUCGCAAGGUUGCGAAAAAGAAAAUAUUAAGAAUGUACUUAUGUGAAAUUUUAAAAAUCUUUAAAUUAAGAUUAUAC